rnacentral:rRNA from 1 species
CCUACGGGAGGCAGCAGUAAGGAAUCUUCCGCAAUGGGCGAAAGCCUGACGGAGCAACGCCGCGUGGGCGAUGAAGGCCUUCGGGUCGUAAAGCCCUUUUCUGUGGGACGAUAAUGACGGUACCACAGGAAUAAGCCACGGCUAACUACGUGCCAGCAGCCGCGGUAAUACGUAGGUGGCUAGCGUUAUCCGGAUUCACUGGGCGUAAAGAGCGCGUAGGCGGUGUGCUAAGUUGGACGUGAAAGCCCCCGGCUUAACCGGGGGAGGUCGUCCAAUACUGGUGCACUUGAGGGUGGACGGGGAAAGCGGAAUUCCUGGUGUAGCGGUGAAAUGCGUAGAUAUCAGGAGGAACACCCGUGGCGAGGGCGGCUUCCUGGCCAUGGCCUGACGCUGAGGGGCGAAAGCCAGGGGAGCGAACGGGAUUAGAUACCCUGGUAGU